GCGGUAGAGUCCUUCGGACUUGAGAGCGGCGCACGGGUGAGUAACGCGUACAUGACCUGCCUUUAAGACCGGGAUAGCCCUGGGAAACUGGGAUUAAUACCGGAUGUGAUAAUAUGUAUAGAGAUAUAUUAUUAAAGUUGAGGCGCUUAGAGAUGGGUGUGCGUUUGAUUAGCUAGUUGGUAGGGUAACGGCCUACCAAGGCGACGAUCAAUAGGGGGCGUGAGAGCGUGACCCCCCACACGGGUACUGAGACACGGACCCGACUCCUACGGGAGGCAGCAGUAAGGAAUAUUGGUCAAUGGACGGAAGUCUGAACCAGCCAUCCCGCGUGCAGGAUGAAGGUCCUAUGGAUUGUAAACUGCUUUUAGCAGAGACGAAACGCCGACAUUUAUGUUGGUCUGACGGUAUCUGCGGAAUAAGCACCGGCUAACUCCGUGCCAGCAGCCGCGGUAAUACGGAGGGUGCAAGCGUUAUCCGGAAUCACUGGGUUUAAAGGGUGCGUAGGCGGAUGAUUAAGUCAGUGGUGAAAGCUGGUCGCUUAACGAUCAAACUGCCAUUGAUACUGAUUGUCUUGAAUUGGGUUGAGGUUAGCGGAAUGUGACAUGUAGCGGUGAAAUGCAUAGAUAUGUCAUGGAACACCAAUUGCGAAGGCAGCUAACUGGGCCUUGAUUGACGCUGAGGCACGAAAGCGUGGGUAGCGAACAGGAUUAGAUACCCUGGUAGUCCACGCCCUAAACGAUGCUAACUCGAUGUUUGGACAGUAAGUUUGAGCAUCCAAGGGAAACCGAUAAGUUAGCCACCUGGGGAGUACGACCGCAAGGUUGAAACUCAAAGGAAUUGACGGGGGUCCGCACAAGCGUGGAGCAUGUGGUUUAAUUCGAUGAUACGCGAGGAACCUUACCUAGGCUAGAAUGUGAGUGACAGACCCUGAAGGG
rnacentral:rRNA from 1 species